GUGUCGGUAGUGCGACGGUUUAGCAUGCGCUCCCGGAAAGAGUGAGAUCUGGGCUUGAAUCUCAGCUGACGCA